GUCCUGUCCGCCCUGCAAGUUCCGGAAGGUGUGAAGUUGGCGAGCAAGGACAUGGAGACGACGACGGACGACGUCGUCGCGAAGGCGAA
rnacentral:sRNA from 1 species